ACUGCCGCCGGACGGAACGGGUCGCGAGGGUUGGGGAGCCUGAUGACCGACCCGCCUCCGAGACAGCCACGGGUCUUAGGGAGCCCGAAGCCGUCGCUCCGGCGAGGGAG
rfam:Actinomyces urogenitalis DSM 15434 SCAFFOLD1 genomic scaffold, whole genome shotgun sequence.